rnacentral:rRNA from 1 species
CAGUCAUACCGGCGGAUAAUUAGCCUUUCGGGUGCGAUUCUGUGGGGCGUGAGGAGCUUAACCGCCUUCAUGUUUUGCAUAUUCGUGCACAUUUGGUGUACUUGUCCGUGUGGUGGGUUAACA